rnacentral:rRNA from 1 species
UACGUAGGGGGCUAGCGUUGUCCGGAAUCAUUGGGCGUAAAGAGCGCGCAGGCGGUCGUCCAAGUCGCGUGUGAAAGCCCCCGGCUCAACUGGGGAGGGUCACGCGAUACUGGUCGACUCGAAGGCAGGAGAGGGUAGUGGAAUUCCCGGUGUAGUGGUGAAAUGCGUAGAUAUCGGGAGGAACACCAGUGGCGAAGGCGACUACCUGGCCUGUUCUUGACGCUGAGGCGCGAAAGCUAGGGGAGCAAACGGG